rnacentral:rRNA from 1 species
GACGAACGCUGGCGGCGUGCCUAAUACAUGCAAGUCGAGCGCAGGAAAUCGACGGAACCCUUCGGGGGGAAGUCGACGGAAUGAGCGGCGGACGGGUGAGUAACACGUAAAGAACCUGCCCUCAGGUCUGGGAUAACUACGAGAAAUCGGGGCUAAUACCGGAUGGGUCAUCGGACCGCAUGUCCGAGGAUGAAAGGCGCUUCGGCGUCGCCUGGGGAUGGCUUUGCGGUGCGUUAGCUAGUUGGUGGGGUAAUGGCCCACCAAGGCGACGAUGCAUAGCCGACCUGAGGGGGUGAUCGGCCACACUGGGACUGAGACACGGCCCAGACUCCUACGGGAGGCAGCAGUAGGGAAUCUUCCACAAUGGACGAAAGUCUGAUGGAGCAACGCCGCGUGAACGAUGAAGGCCUUCGGGUCGUAAAGUUCUGUUGUAAGGGAAGAACAAGUGCCGCAGGCAAUGGCGGCACCUUGACGGUACCUUGCGAGAAAGCCACGGCUAACUACGUGCCAGCCGCCGCAGUAA